rnacentral:misc_RNA from 1 species
UCUAAGGGCUGUAUUGUUCUAGCGGACAAUGGGCCACAGCGGGUGGCAAUCGAGUAGACGUUGAUGGGAUUGGGUUUCACGAUUCGGGGGUGAAGGUGCCCGGGGACUGUAGCUCAGCUGGUUAGAGCACUCGCCUGAUAAGCGAGAGGUCAGAGGUUCGAGUCCUCUCAGUCCCACAGUGGGGACAUAGCUCAGUUGGGAGAGCGUCGCCUUUGCACGGCGAAGGUCAGGGGUUCGAAUCCCCUUGUCUCCAAGGCACAUUAACAAGAGAAUACACAAGCGAGAAAAAGCGUAUCAACGAAUGGCACGUCAAGUUGAAGAUCGCCGGAUAAGCGGUCGGCCUCUCCGGAUCACGCCUGUGGAAGCAGGGGUGGCUGGUUGAGGAAGCAGAGAAGAGCAUACGGGGGAUGCCUAGGCAUCGUGUGCCGAAGAAGGACGUGGUACACUGCGAAAAGCUUCGGCGAGGGGUGUGCACCCGCAAGAGCCGGAGAUGUCCGAAUGGGGAAACCCGG